GUGCUUCGCCGUCUUUUCAUGAAAGCAGAGAUGCUCUGACGUCACUUCCUUUCCUCUCUUGAUCUCGUAGGAGUCACACGUGCCAAUCAGUCGCCGUAAACUGAAAAGAUCAAAAUGGCUCCAGCUAAGAAGAUCAAGAAGAACACCGAGAACAUCAACUCUCGUCUGGCCCUUGUCAUGAAGAGCGGCAAGUUUGUGCUGGGAUACAAGCAGACGCUGAAGACACUGCGACAGGGCAAGGCCAAGCUGGUCAUCAUUGCUAACAACACCCCUCCUCUCAGGAAGAGUGAGAUUGAGUACUAUGCCAUGUUGGCCAAGACCGGCGUCCACCACUACACUGGUAACAACAUUGAGCUGGGCACCGCUUGCGGUAGAUACUUCAGAGUGUGCACCCUCAGCAUUACUGACCCAGGUAUGAGGUAGCCUUGUAGUACAAGAUCUGUAGUGUGCACCCUCAGCAUUACUGACCCAGGUAUGAGGUAGCUUUGUAGUACAAGAUCUGUAGUGUGCACCCUCAGCAUUACUGACCCAGGUAUGAGGUAGCUUUGUAGUACAAGAUCUGUAGUGUGCACCCUCAGCAUUACUGACCCAGGUAUGAGGUAGCCUUGUAGUACAAGAUCUGUAGUGUGCACCCUCAGCAUUACUGACCCAGGUAUGAGGUAGCUUUGUAGUACAAGAUCUGUAGUGUGCACCCUCAGCAUUACUGACCCAGGUAUGAGGUAGCCUUGUAGUACAAGAUCUGUAGUGUGCACCCUCAGCAUUACUGACCCAGGUAUGAGGUAGCCUUGUAGUACAAGAUCUGUAGUGUGCACCCUCAGCAUUACUGACCCAGGUAUGAGGUAGCCUUGUAGUACAAGAUCUGUAGUGUGCACCCUCAGCAUUACUGACCCAGGUAUGAGGUAGCCUUGUAGUACAAGAUCUGUAGUGUGCACCCUCAGCAUUACUGACCCAGGUAUGAGGUAGCCUUGUAGUACAAGAUCUGUAGUGUGCACCCUCAGCAUUACUGACCCAGGUAUGAGGUAGCCUUGUAGUACAAGAUCUGUAGUGUGCACCCUCAGCAUUACUGACCCAGGUAUGAGGUAGCUUUGUAGUACAAGAUCUUCAUAAGCAGCUCUCAUAACAUCCACAUUACAACACUGAACAUUGAUCAUUGUCUUAACAAUCAGGACUGGGGCUUUUCCUUUAAGCUGAUUUCCUUGUUGUGAGUGUCAAGAUUGAUUGCCUUGAAUUGAUCUGUCUGUAUAGUUAGGACUUUUUGAAACCAUUUAGGGGAGGAGGGGAGUAGUUUGAUUUACAAGUUAAUCAUAAUCACAACCAUGAAAAUGACACUCUGUGUUUUAAGUUGCAAUUGAGUGCCUGUCAUUGAAAUAAUGAGCUUUGGCUUAUCAAAUCCAGACUCUUGAUUUUUUUCUUGAAAACAAGAAAAUAUUACACAGGGUGCAGGAUCACGUGACUGUGGGGUUCCCAAUUAAACGUUAAUGGAUGUAAACAGACCGGUAAAACAAUUUUUCUUAAGAAUUUCAACUUUUGCAUAAAGACAGAUUGUUUUGCUGCUUAUAGCAAUGUGAAAAAUAUCUGAAUUACUUUAUUUAAAGUAAACAUGUGUUCUUGUUCAAAAAUUAUAUUUUUUUACUGCAUUCAUGUGUACGGUCAUACUUAAACCAACGUGAAAUUUUGUCACCGAUUUCAGACGUAUUCAGGGUUUUAUUCUUAUACCUUAAGAUAUAGGCACAAACUGCUCUUAAUGUUUUUGCUAAUGUAUUUCAAUAAUUUGAGAUAUUUGCAAAAAUAAAGUCCUCAACAGAGUGUUUACAUUCUGUCCAGCCCCUAAAACCCCUGUUGAUUCUGCACCCUGUACUCGCUGCCCCUCUAUCCAUCUGAUCAGGCCACACUUGAUAUUUGUGGUACUUCCAAUCACUGGUUUAGCCAACAUUUACUGACUUGUAGUCUUAAUGUGUUUCAGGUGAUUCCGACAUUAUCCGCAACAUGCCAUCCGAACAACAGACAGCAUAGGCGUCUCGCAGCCCCAAAUUUACGUGUAUUCUGUACAAUAAACGUGCGGCAGCA